rnacentral:rRNA from 1 species
UACGUAGGGUGCGAGCGUUAAUCGGAAUUACUGGGCGUAAAGCGUGCGCAGGCGGUGAUGUAAGACCGAUGUGAAAUCCCCGGGCUCAACCUGGGAACUGCAUUGGUGACUGCAUUGCUCGAGUAUGGCAGAGGGGGGUGGAAUUCCACGUGUAGCAGUGAAAUGCGUAGAGAUGUGGAGGAACACCGAUGGCGAAGGCAGCCCCCUGGGCCAAUACUGACGCUCAUGCACGAAAGCGUGGGGAGCAAACAGG